UACUGUUGCUGGAAACCAGCACGGGCGUCGAGGAAACUCUACGCCCGUGCACGCAUGUUAAGGGUAGGAAAAAAGAG
rfam:Yersinia pestis CO92 complete genome